AAUAAGUUGUAUAGUAUUGUAACGGCUURAUUGAUGUUUCCGUAUGGUUCAUCUUUUGGGUGCAGUUUGAUGCUAUAUAAUGCACUUGUUGCCAUUGUGCUGAUACAAUUGAUCAUUACUUCGGAUGUGGGGAAAGAGGGCAUAUCUUCGGAUGUGUAUCCUGGCCACACGAAAGAAGUUURYGGKUAAUUGCCUUAYGGAACAUAAAAGAUGGUGCAUGUUUUAUGAGAUAUUGAGGUUAAUGCUUGCAUUGGCUUUUUUAUUYUGUAGAAUUGUGUGCUUUAUGAUGUGUUUUUUUAUCAGUAUAAAAGACAAUCACCUAUAUGUCCCGUCUUGAAACACGGACCAAGGAGUUUAUCGUAUGUGCGAGUCAUUGGGUGGAGAAAACCCAUUGGCGUAAUGAAAGUAAAGUGUUCUUUAUGAGCAUGAUAUAUGAUUGUUUUUUAUUCGUAAAAAACAAGCAGUAUAGUCCCAUCCAAUUUGCUUGCAAAUGGGUGGAGAUAGAGCAUAUGCGAUGAGACCCGAAAGAUGGUGAACUAUGCCUGAGCAGGAUGAAGUCAGAGGAAACUCUGAUGGAAGUCCGAAGCGGUUCUGACGUGCAA
rnacentral:rRNA from 1 species